rnacentral:rRNA from 1 species
UGCGUAGGUGGCGUCGUAAGUCGGGUGUGAAAUCUCGGGGCUUAACUCCGAAACUGCAUUCGAUACUGCGGUGCUUGAGGACUGGAGAGGAGACUGGAAUUUACGGUGUAGCAGUGAAAUGCGUAGAGAUCGUAAGGAAGACCAGUGGCGAAGGCGGGUCUCUGGACAGUUCCUGACACUGAGGCACGAAGGCCAGGGGAGCAAACG